rnacentral:rRNA from 1 species
CAGUCGCCGCGGUAAUACAGAGGGUGCGAGCGUUAAUCGGAUUUACUGGGCGUAAAGCGUGCGUAGGCGGCUUUUUAAGUCAGAUGUGAAAUCCCUGAGCUUAACUUAGGAAUUGCAUUCGAUACUGGGAAGCUAGAGUAUGGGAGAGGAUGGUAGAAUUCCAGGUGUAGCGGUGAAAUGCGUAGAGAUCUGGAGGAAUACCGAUGGCGAAGGCAGCCAUCUGGCCUAAUACUGACGCUGAGGUACGAAAGCAUGGGGAGCAAACAGGAUUAGAGACCCCAGUAGUCCCUGUCUCUUAUAC